rnacentral:rRNA from 1 species
CGUGUAGGCGGCAGGCCAAGUCUGGGGUGAAAUCGCUCGGCUCAACUGGGCGGGGUCCCUGGAAACUGGUCAGCUGGAGGACGGUAGAGGUGAGUGGAAUUCCCGGUGUAGUGGUGAAAUGCGUAGAGAUCGGGAGGAACACCCGUGGCGAAGGCGGCUCACUGGGCCGGUCCUGACGCUGAGACGCGAAGGCGUGGGGAGCGAACG